AGUGAACGCUGGCGGUAGGCCUAACACAUGCAAGUCGAACGGCAGCACAGGAGAGCUUGCUCUCUGGGUGGCGAGUGGCGGACGGGUGAGGAAUACAUCGGAAUCUACUUUUUCGUGGGGGAUAACGUAGGGAAACUUACGCUAAUACCGCAUACGACCUACGGGUGAAAGCAGGAGAUCUUCGGACCUUGCGCGAUUGAAUGAGCCGAUGUCGGAUUAGCUAGUUGGCGGGGUAAAGGCCCACCAAGGCGACGAUCCGUAGCUGGUCUGAGAGGAUGAUCAGCCACACUGGAACGGAGACACGGUCCAGACUCCUACGGGAGGCAGCAGUGGGGAAUAUUGGACAAUGGGCGCAAGCCUGAUCCAGCCAUACCGCGUGGGUGAAGAAGGCCUUCGGGUUGUAAAGCCCUUUUGUUGGGAAAGAAAUCCAGCUGGUUAAUACCCGGUUGGGAUGACGGUACCCAAAGAAUAAGCACCGGCUAACUUCGUGCCAGCCGCCGCAGUAA
rnacentral:rRNA from 1 species